rnacentral:rRNA from 1 species
ACGCUCGACACCUACGAGAGGCAGCAGUAGGGAAUCUUCCACAAUGGACGCAAGUCUGAUGGAGCAACGCCGCGUGAGUGAAGAAGGUCUUCGGAUCGUAAAACUCUGUUGUUAGAGAAGAACACGAGUGAGAGUAACUGUUCAUUCGAUGACGGUAUCUAACCAGCAAGUCACGGCUAACUACGUGCCAGCAGCCGCGGUAAUCUGAGCGGGCUGGCAAGGC